rnacentral:rRNA from 1 species
UACAGAGGGGGCAAGCGUUGUUCGGAAUUACUGGGCGUAAAGGGCGCGUAGGCGGCCUGUUAAGUCGAACGUGAAAUCCCCGGGCUCAACCCGGGGAACUGCGUCCGAUACUGGCAGGCUUGAAUCCGGGAGAGGGAUGCGGAAUUCCAGGUGUAGCGGUGAAAUGCGUAGAUAUCUGGAGGAACACCGGUGGCGAAGGCGGCAUCCUGGACCGGCAUUGACGCUGAGGCGCGAAAGCCAGGGGAGCAAAGCGGG